rnacentral:rRNA from 1 species
UCGAGGAUCUUCGGCAAUGGGCGCAAGCCUGACCGAGCGACGCCGCGUGUGCGAUGAAGGCCUUCGGGUUGUAAAGCACUGUCGAGGGGGAGGAAAGCCGGGCAACCGGUCUGACCUAUCCCUGGAGGAAGCACGGGCUAAGUUCGUGCCAGCAGCCGCGGUAAGACGAACCGUGCGAACGUUGUUCGGAUUCACUGGGCUUAAAGGGCGCGUAGGCGGGCAUGCGAGUCAGGGGUGAAAGCUCCCGGCCCAACCGGGAAAGUGCCUUUGAUACUGCAUGUCUCGAGGGAGGUAGGGGCACGCGGAACUUCCGGUGGAGCGGUGAAAUGCGUAGAUAUCGGAAGGAACGCCGGUGGCGAAAGCGGCGUGCUGGACCUCUACUGACGCUGAGGCGCGAAAGCCAGGGGAGCAAACGG